UAAGUGAAGAGUUUGAUCCUGGCUCAGAGUGAACGCUGGCGGCAGGCCUAACACAUGCAAGUCGAACGGCAGCACAGUAAG
rnacentral:rRNA from 1 species